rnacentral:lncRNA from 1 species
GUAGCUCAUCUAAAUUUGAUCAUUCAUAUUACCAUUUGGAUGACCAUCUAAAAUAGAUUAUCUUUUUAUAUCACUUAUCACUCCAAUGAACAUUCAUAUUACAUCAUUUAUAUAUAUAUUGCUAAUAUUUUUGCAACAAUUUUAUCUCAUGUUGUUAUUGCCCUCUCCUUUUAAGAUUGGAUAUUGAGAUAUGGAGUGAAGAUGGAGAAACUCCAAAUAUAAAAAAUGCUCUAUUUUUGAAGAGUGAGAUGAAGUAUCUACUGUAGCAACUUUUUUCUGAACGUCUUUUAUUUUCAAAAGGAAAAAGUACGAAUUACCUCCUGAACUAUCGUGGUCAGCCGAAUUACCCCCCUAAACCCGAAAACCAAACAUCCUUCACCCUAACUUUCAAUACUGGGCAAAUUACCCCUCUCAACCCAAUCCAAGGCGGUUUUGUCCUACGUGGCGUACACGUGGCAGCUCAGUCAGCAUUUUCUUUUUUUAACCAUGGGGCCCACAUGUCAUACCCUCCCUCUUCGGCCCUCUCCCUCCCUCCUCUCUCUCUCGGGCGAAUAGGGUGACGGUGGCGGGCGCUCAGCGCCGGCCAGGGACGACCGAAUGACGGGGUGGGCACGGCGAGCGG